UAAUCGUACCCCAAACCGACACAGGUGGUCAGGUAGAGAAUACUCAGGCGCUUGAGAGAACUCGGGUGAAGGAACUAGGCAAAAUGGUGCCGUAACUUCGGGAGAAGGCACGCUGGCGCUAGGUGAAGUGGUUUACCCAUGGAGCUGAAGCCAGUCGCAGAUACCAGCUGGCUGCAACUGUUUAUUAAAAACACAGCACUGUGCAAACACGAAAGUGGACGUAUACGGUGUGACGCCUGCCCGGUGCUGGAAGGUUAAUUGAUGGGGUUAUCCGUAAGGAGAAGCUCUUGAUCGAAGCCCCAGUAAACGGCGGCCGUAACUAUAACGGUCCUAAGGUAGCGAAAUUCCUUGUCGGGUAAGUUCCGACCUGCACGAAUGGCGUAAUGAUGGCCAGGCUGUCUCCACCCGAGACUCAGUGAAAUUGAACUCGCUGUGAAGAUGCAGUGUACCCGCGGCAAGACGGAAAGACCCCGUGAACCUUUACUAUAGCUUGACACUGAACAUUGAGCCUUGAUGUGUAGGAUAGGUGGGAGGCUUUGAAGUGUGGACGCCAGUCUGCAUGGAGCCAACCUUGAAAUACCACCCUUUAAUGUUUGAUGUUCUAACGUUGCCCCGUUAUCCGGGGUGCGGACAGUGUCUGGUGGGUAGUUUGACUGGGGCGGUCUCCUCCCAAAGAGUAACGGAGGAGCACGAAGGUUGGCUAAGCAUGGUCGGACAUCAUGCGGUUAGUGCAAAGGCAUAAGCCAGCUUGACUGCGAGAGUGACGGCUCGAGCAGGUACGAAAGUAGGUCUUAGUGAUCCGGUGGUUCUGAAUGGAAGGGCCAUCGCUCAACGGAUAAAAGGUACUCCGGGGAUAACAGGCUGAUACCGCCCAAGAGUUCAUAUCGACGGCGGUGUUUGGCACCUCGAUGUCGGCUCAUCACAUCCUGGGGCUGAAGUAGGUCCCAAGGGUACGGCUGUUCGCCGUUUAAAGUGGUACGCGAGCUGGGUUUAGAACGUCGUGAGACAGUUCGGUCCCUAUCUGCCGUGGGCGUUGGAAGAUUGAAAGGGGCUGCUCCUAGUACGAGAGGACCGGAGUGGACGCACCACUGGUGUUCGGGUUGUCAUGCCAAUGGCAUUGCCCGGUAGCUAAGUGCGGAAGAGAUAACCGCUGAAAGCAUCUAAGCGGGAAACUUGCCUUGAGAUGAGUCUUCCCUGACCCUUUAAGGGUCCUAAAGGAACGUUUAAGACUAAGACGUUGAUAGGUUGGGUGUGUAAGCAUAGCGAUAUGUUGAGCUAACCAAUACUAAUGAACCGUGAGGCUUAACCUG
rnacentral:rRNA from 1 species